rnacentral:rRNA from 1 species
UACAGAGGUCUCAAGCGUUGUUCGGAUUCAUUGGGCGUAAAGGGUGCGUAGGCGGCGCGGUAAGUCGGGUGUGAAAUCUCGGAGCUUAACUCCGAAACUGCAUUCGAUACUGCCGUGCUUGAGGACUGGAGAGGAGACUGGAAUUUACGGUGUAGCGGUGAAAUGCGUAGAUAUCGUAAGGAAGACCAGUGGCGAAGGCGGGUCUCGUGGACCGAUACUGACGCUGAGGAGCGAAAGCGUGGGGAGCGAACAGG